rnacentral:tRNA from 1 species
UAGACUAUGGUGUAAUGGAUAUAGCCUCUGCCUGUUGAACAGAAAUCCCAGGUUCGAUUCCCGGUUUCCUCU